rnacentral:rRNA from 1 species
ACACUCCUGCGGGAGGCAGCAGUGGGGAAUUUUGGACAAUGGGCGAAAGCCUGAUCCAGCAAUGCCGCGUGAGUGAAGAAGGCCUUCGGGUUGUAAAGCUCUUUUGUCAGGGAAGAAACGGUGAGAGCUAAUAUCUCUUGCUAAUGAUGGUACCUGAAGAAUAAGCACCGGCUAACUACGUGCCAGCAGCCGCGGUAAUACGUAGGGUGCAAGCGUUAAUCGGAAUUACUGGGCGUAAAGCGUGCGCAGGCGGUUUUGUAAGUCUGAUGUGAAAUCCCCGGGCUCAACCUGGGAAUUGCAUUGGAGACUGCAAGGCUAGAAUCUGGCAGAGGGGGGUAGAAUUCCACGUGUAGCAGUGAAAUGCGUAGAUAUGUGGAGGAACACCGAUGGCGAAGGCAGCCCCCUGGGUCAAGAUUGACGCUCAUGCACGAAAGCGUGGGGAGCAAACAGGAUUAGAUACCCUAGUAGUCCCA